GUCAACUACCCCUCCCCAGAUCAGAGAUUUAGGAAGGGGCUUGAAAAAGCCUCUGUAGAGGGGAUAGGAGAUUAGCUUAAUGCAAUGUCCUCUCAUAGGGUGAGGGCAAGUUGAGCUACGUUCGGGGCCGAGUGUCUGACAAAUACACCUUGGGGUGCCUCCCAAGCCACCAGGCUCUGGA
rnacentral:sRNA from 18 species